rnacentral:rRNA from 1 species
GCAGGUACAGAGGGAUGCUACCGGGCGACCGGAUGCGGAUCUCGAAAGCCUGUCCCAGUUCGGACUGGAGUCUGCAACCCGACUCCACGAAGUUGGAUUCGCUAGUAAUCGCGCAUCAGCCAUGGCGCGGUGAAUACGUUCCCGGGCCUUGUACACACCGCCCGUCAAGCCAUGGGAGCCGGGGGCGCCUGAAGUCCGGGACCGCGAGGACCGGCCUAGGGCGAAACUGGUAACUGGGGCUAAGUCGUAACAAGGUAUC